GUUUAUUCUGUUUCUAUGCUCUUACAUGUUGGAGUGCUGCAGCAUGCCUCUGGGCUGCUGUGUGAAGACAGCCCUCUGCAGCAGGAUGCACCUCUGGGUUGAUCUAGGCUGGUGACUAUAUAUUAUAGGAGUGUGGACCAAGAGAGAGCCAGCAGGAAGAGCAUGCUGACGACAACGUGUCAAUUUCUCCAAAAAUAGCGUCUUCGCUCUUUCCUCCAGUCCUCCGAUGAGUUCACACUGCUGUUUACCCAUCUUCUUCUUCAGCAGCUUCAGGCCUGCAAAUACAGCAUGUUGUUCCUGACCACAAUGGUGAAAGUCACUUACUGUGAGACGGGUAAAGCUGCAGAACAUCCUGGAGGAGUGUGUAUGGAGGAACAUCUCAAUUCUGCUCCGCUGGACCUCUUCAUGCACAGUGCAAAGUCGAGUGGUAUUUCAGUCUGCCUUGCAGGAGUGUGUAUGAAGCUCUGGUCACACAAAUUAAAAAGUGGAGGACAGUCUCAACCUGUGCCACGGGAGGAGAGAAAUGUCUCUACAAGUUGCAGUCUGCAUCUGUGCACUUCAUAUCAGCCAAACACACAACUCCAGUAAAGAAAUACGUUGAUGACAUCAACUUCAGACUCGUCUCCUAUGGAUUUUUCACACACUGCCAUGUAUCUGCCAUGUCAGUGUCAGAGACCUGGUAUGCUGUCACAGAUCACGGCACCAACUACUGUAACCUCUACAACUUAAUGGAAGGAAGUGGACUUACUGAAGCUCCAGGAUACAAAGAGAUCACCAGUGACUUCCUGUGCACCCAGCGCUCAUCUGCUAACUGUACUGUGUACUAGCACGGAAACAAGUUCAUACUUUUUCAUAUGCAAAUUUUUAUAUUGACUUUUGUGGCUUUUAAUGAUGUUUAUUAGAUUUGAGAGCAUAUGUAAUCUCCUUAAAAUUGACAAAAUAAGCUUUUAACCAACAUACACAUUCCCGGGAACAUGAACCAGGACUACUGAUGAUUUCUUUAUUUUAUUUUAAGAAAUUAAUACUUUUAUUUAGGAGGGACACAUUCAAUUGCUCAAAAGAAAGACUUUUAUGUUGAUAUACUGUAAAAUCAUUCUGUUUCAAAUAAAUGUUGUUCUUUUGAAGUUUUGAAGAAUUCUGAAAGAACUUUUUCAAACGUUUUGAAUGUUUCUUGAGCAGCAAAUCAGAUUAUUAUAAAGAUUUGUGAAGGAUCAUGUGACACUGAAGACUGGAGUAAUGAUGCUGAAAAUUAAAGGAAUAAAUUACAUUUUAAAAUAUCACAAUGUUACUAUAUUUCUGAUCAAAUAAAUGCAUAUACUGGUGAGCAUAAGAGACUGUUUUUUU